rnacentral:rRNA from 1 species
CGGCGAGUGAAGCGGCAAAAGCUCAAAUUUGAAAUCUGGCUCUUUCAGGGUCCGAGUUGUAAUUUGUAGAGGGUGCUUUGGCGUCGGCUACGGCCUAAGUUCCUUGGAACAGGACGUCACAGAGGGUGAGAAUCCCGUACGUGGCCGCUGGCCUUCGCCGUGUAAAGCCCCUUCGACGAGUCGAGUUGUUUGGGAAUGCAGCUCUAAAUGGGAGGUAAAUUUCUUCUAAAGCUAAAUAUUGGCCAGAGACCGAUAGCGCACAAGUAGAGUGAUCGAAAGAUGAAAAGCACUUUGGAAAGAGAGUCAAAAAGCACGUGAAAUUGUUGAAAGGGAAGCGCUUGCAGCCAGACUUGCCUGUAGUUGCUCAUCCGAGCUUUUGCUCGGUGCAUUCUUCUGCGGGCAGGCCAGCAUCAGUCCGGGCGGUCGGAUAAAGGCCUCGGGAACGUAGCUCUCUUCGGGGAGUGUUAUAGCCCGUGGUGCCAUGCGACCAGCCUGGACUGAGGUCCGCGCAUCUGCUAGGAUGCUGGCGUAAUGGCUGUAAGCGGCCCGUCUUGAAACACGGACCAAGGAGUCUAACAUCUAUGCGAGUGUUUGGGUGUCAAGCCCGGGCGCGCAAUGAAAGUGAACGGAGGUGGGAACCCCUCGGGGCGCACCAUCGACCGAUCCUGAUGUCUUCGGAUGGAUUUGAGUAAGAGCAUAGCUGUUGGGACCCGAAAGAUGGUGAACUAUGCCUGAAUAGGGUGAAGCCAGAGGAAACUCUGGUGGAGGCUCGCAGCGGUUCUGACGUGCAAAUCGAUCGUCAAAUU